AUGGGCAACGAGAUGUCGCCCCUCCAGAAGCACCGCGCGGAAUACCGCCCCGAGCUCCCGCCCUGGCUCCAGGGCACCGCGGUGAAGGUGGAGUACGGCGACGCCGCGAUCGCGGCUGACGGCGCUGACGCGCAUGUGAUCCGCCGCGCGUUCCCGCACACCUAUGGCCAGCGGCUGGCGCAUUUCCUCCCGAAGACGGCCAAUGCGCCGGACGCUACGGUCAUAACAGAGCACCCUGCCGUCAGGGUUGGUGUCGUCUUCAGUGGUAGGCAGUCCCCUGGUGGUCACAAUGUUGUAUGGGGACUAUAUAAUGCUAUAAAUUCUCACAACCCAAGCAGCGAGCUUAUCGGUUUUCUUGGCGGAACUGAUGGCUUGUUUGCUCAGAAAACUUUGGAAAUCACUGAGGAAGUUUUUUCUUCCUAUAAAAAUCAAGGUGGUUAUUAUAUGCUAGGUCGAACUAGGGACCAAAUCAGAACAACUGAACAAGUAAAGGCAGCAAUGACUACUUGCCAAGCUUUGAAGUUGGAUGCUCUUGUAAUAAUUGGAGGUGUCACAUCCAACACGGAUGCUGCUCAGCUUGCUGAGACUUUUGCUGAGUCGAAAUGUUCAACAAAGGUAGUUGGUGUUCCUGUAACUUUGAAUGGUGACCUUAAGAACCAGUUUGUCGAGACAACUGUUGGUUUCGAUACCAUAUGCAAGGUGAACUCACAGCUCAUAAGUAAUGUCUGCACUGAUGCUCUUUCUGCUGAGAAGUAUUACUACUUCAUUCGCUUGAUGGGGCGGAAAGCAUCUCAUGUGGCCUUGGAAUGUGCUCUUCAGUCACAUCCAAAUAUGGUCUUGCUAGGGGAGGAGGUUGCUGCGUCAAAACUUACAAUUUCUGAUAUUACAAAGCAGAUAUGUGAUGCUGUCCAGGCAAGGGCUGAAAAAGAUAAAUACCAUGGUGUUAUACUUAUUCCCGAGGGCCUUGUCGAGAGUAUACCUGAAUUAUAUGCUUUGCUUCAGGAAAUUCAUGGGCUACAUGAUAAAGGUGUUUUCAUUGAGAACAUCUCUUCUCAUCUUUCGCCUUGGGCUUCUGCACUAUUUGACUUUCUGCCUCCAUUUAUCAGGAAACAGCUACUUCUGCAUCCAGAAUCUGACGACUCUGCUCAGCUUUCUCAGAUUGAGACUGAGAAGCUUCUAGCCCAGUUAGUUGAGACAGAAAUCAACAAACGUCUGGAGGAAGGCACUUACAAAGGAAAGAAGUUCAAUGCAAUUUGCCACUUUUUUGGCUACCAAGCAAGAGGCGCCCUGCCGUCAAACUUUGAUUGCGAUUACGCCUAUGUUCUCGGUCAUGUAUGCUAUCACAUCUUAGCUGCUGGUCUGAAUGGCUACAUGGCCACUGUAACUAAUCUAAAAAGUCCUGUGGACCAGUGGAAAUGUGGUGCUGCUCCUAUUACGUCUAUGAUGACGGUAAGGGGAUGGUCUCGCGGUCCCACUGCCAGUCAAAUUGGGAAGCCCGCUGUCCACAUAGCAAGCGUCGACUUAAAAGGAAAAGCAUACGAGCUGCUGAGGCAAAACUCUUCCAGCCUCCUGAUGGAAGACAUCUACAAGAACCCUGGACCGCUGCAAUUCCAAGGACCGGGUGCCGACUUAAAGCCCAUCUCGCUGUGCGUGGAAGACCGGGACUACAUGGGGAGGAUCAAACAGCUGCAGGAGUAUCUGGAGAAGGUGAAGAACAUCGUGAAGCCUGGGUGCUCGCAGGAUGUGCUGAAAGCUGCACUGAGCUCCAUGGCACAUGUGACGGAGCUGCUGACCAUCAUGUCUUCUCCGUCUUACAGUGGCCAGGCGACCAUCUGA
rnacentral:rRNA from 1 species